GAACUGCCCCAGCUGUCUCUUAGAUAACUAUGGACCGAACAAAUGCACAGUCACUACCUACAAUAAUGGACUGAUCCAAUGGACUGUCCCAGCUGUCUCUUAGCUAACUGUGGACCGAUCCGAUGUACAGUCACUACCUACAAUAAUGGACUGAUCCAAUGAACUGCCCCAGCUGUCUCUUAGAUAACUAUGGACCAAACCAAUGCACAGUCACUACCUACAAUAAUGGACUGAUCCAAUGAACUGUCCUGGCUGUCUCUUAGUUAACUGUGGACCAAACCAAUGCACAGUCACUACCUACAAUAAUGGACUGAUCCAACACAGCAGCACAACAUAUGAAAUCAUCACCUUCUCCUUGACUGAUUUGCGCCAAAGUUAAUAUGGUUGUGUAUCCGCCCCUGAUAUGUUAUUAUGCUAAAUAUGAGACAAAUCUAUCAAGUUGUUGUAAUGUGUAUGAAUGCCGUCCUGUAACAAUGAGUGACAAGUGAGGAAGAUAUAAAUGUGUUGACAGCACAAAUAACAACACAAUGACAACAAUACAGAGAGAAGGAAAAUAACUGGAUAAGAAGAAUAAUGCAAAGGGCCCGGACAGGUCUCCUACAGGAAGCACAAGAGCAAAGGUGAUAGAGGAGAAGAUAAAUAGAUGGGAUACGACGAAGAACAGAGUCUAGAAUCCGAAAUCAGUGAUAAAUGUGAUAAAGAAGGAAAGCAAAUAAUUCUCAUCGUAGAAGGUGGAUAUUAAUGUUACAUCAGCAUGCUCCACUGUAAGCUUAUAUAACAACAGCAGCUGGUGCCGAGACUGGUUCAGAUAGGUCCAGACGGGAUAAUGGUGCAACAAAAUCAUCUGACAGAAAAUGGCCAGGAUUACAAAAUAGCCAGAACCCCUUAAAGGGAAUGUGUCACAUAAUAAUAUAGCAUUGAUCAGUGCCUGCAAUCAGUGUAAUGCAUUUUAUAGCCCCCUAUAAGGGCUAUAACA